rnacentral:rRNA from 1 species
CCUACGGGAGGCUGCAGCAAGGAAUCUUCCGCAAUGGGCGAUGAGCCUGACGGAGCAACGCCGCGUGGGGGAUGACGCCCUUCGGGGUGUAAACCCCUUUUCUGUGGGAAGAAGUUCUGACGGUACCACAGGAAUAAGGACCGGCUAACUACGUGCCAGCAGCCGCGGUAAUACGUAGGGUCCGAGCGUUGUCCGGAGUUACUGGGCGUAAAGCGCGCGCAGGCGGCGGUGUUGGCCCGGCGUGAAAGCCCCCGGCUCAACCGGGGAGGGUCGUCGGGGACCGCACCGCUUGAGGGCGGUAGGGGCUGGUGGAAUGCCUGGUGUAGUGGUGAAAUGCGUAGAGAUCAGGCGGAACACCCGUGGCGAAGGCGGCCAGCUGGGCCGUCCCUGACGCUGAGGCGCGAAGGCGUGGGGAGCGAACGGGAUUAGAUACCCCUGUA